rfam:Pseudohongiella spirulinae strain KCTC 32221, complete genome.
CCUGACGACCAUAGCGAGUGUGAACCACCUGAUCCCAUCUCGAACUCAGAAGUGAAACUGCUCAGCGCCGAUGGUAGUGUGGGGCCUCCCCAUGUGAGAGUAGGACAUCGUCAGGC